CCUACGGGUGGCAGCAGUGAGGAAUAUUGGUCAAUGGACGAGAGUCUGAACCAGCCAAGUAGCGUGAAGGAUGACUGCCCUACGGGUUGUAAACUUCUUUUAUAAAGGAAUAAAACGCGUUACGUGUGCCUCUUUGCAUGUACCUUAUGAAUAAGGACCGGCUAAUUCCGUGCCAGCAGCCGCGGUAAUACGGAGGAUCCGAGCGUUAUCCGGAUUUAUUGGGUUUAAAGGGAGCGUAGAUGGGUUGUUAAGCCAGCUGUGAAAUGUUGGGGCUCAACCGGGGAAUUGCAGUGGGUACUGGCAGUCUUGAGUACGGGGGAGGUAGGCGGAAUUCGUGGUGUAGCGGUGAAAUGCUUAGAUAUGACGAAGAACCCCGAUUGCGAAGGCAGCUUGCUGAACUGUAACUGACGUUGAUGCUCGAAAGUGUGGGUAUCGAACAGGAUUAGAUACCCUUGUAGUC
rnacentral:rRNA from 1 species